rnacentral:rRNA from 1 species
AGUUAAGUAAUUUAAGCGUACACGGUGAAUGCCUUGGCAGUCAAAGGCGAUGAAGGACGUGCUGAUCUGCGAAAAGCAUCGGUAAGCUGAUGUGAAGCGUUUUAACCGGUGAUUUCCGAAUGGGGAAACCUAAUGCAAGAUAAAUUGUGCAUUAUCAUUUAGUAAAUUCAUAGCUAAAUGAAGCAAACCAGAGGAACUGAAACAUCUUAGUACUCUGAGGAACAGAAAUCAAUUUGAGAUUCCCUUAGUAGUGGCGAGCGAACAGGGAACAGCCCAGAGUUAUAUGAUACCACUUAUGUAUUAAGAGAAUAAUUUGGAAAAAUUAGCAAUAUAGAGUGAUAGCCUCGUAUCUGAAAAUAUAUUAGUUAUCGUAACUCAACGAGUAGGACGAAACACGUGAUAUUUUGUCUGAAGAUGGGGGGACCAUCCUCCAAGGCUAAAUACUCUUGACUGACCGAUAGUGAACCAGUACCGUGAGGGAAAGGCGAAAAGAACCCCGGCGAGGGGAGUGAAAUAGAACCUGAAACCGUGUACGUACAAGCAGUAGGAGCACGAAUGAUCGUUUAUUUGUGUGACUGCGUACCUUUUGUAUAAUGGGUCAGCGACUUAUAUUCUGUAGCAAGGUUAACUAAAUAAGGGAGCCAUAGGGAAACCGAGUCUUAACUGGGCGUUAAGUUGCAGGAUAUAGACCCGAAACCCGGUGAUCUAACCAUGAACAGGUUGAAAAUUAGGUAACACUGAUUGAAGGACCGAACCGACUAAUGUUGAAAAAUUAGCGGAUGAUUUGUGGUUAGGGGUGAAAGGCCAAUCAAACCGGGAGAUAGCUGGUUCUCCCCGAAAGCUAUUUAGGUAGCGCCUCGUAAAUUCAUCUUUGGGGGUAGAGCACUGUUUCGACUAGGGGUCUUCCCAGACUACCAACUCGUUGCAAACUACGAAUACCAAAGAAUGCUAUUACGGGAGACACACGGCGGGUGCUAACAUUCGUCGUGGAGAGGGAAACAACCCAGAUCGCCAGCUAAGGUCCCUAAGUUAUGAUUAAGUGGGAAACGAUGUGAGAAGGCUUAGACAGCCAGGAUGUUGGCUUAGAAGCAGCCAUCAUUUAAAGAAAGCGUAAUAGCUCACUGGUCGAGUCGGCUUGCGCGGAAGAUGUAACGGGGCUAAAUCAUGCACCGAAGCUGCGACAAUACAUAUUUUAUAAUUUAAUAUUUUGCAUUUAUAAUUAUAUCAAAUAUAAAAUUUUUAUUGGGUAGGGGAGCGUUCUGUAAGCCUGAGAAGGUGUGUUGUAAAACAUGCUGGAGGUAUCAGAAGUGCGAAUGCUGACAUAAGUAACGAUAAAGCGGGUGAAAAACCCGCUCGCCGAAAAACUAAGGGUUCCUGUCCAACGUUAAUCGGGGCAGGGUAAGUCGACCCCUAAGGUGAGGCCAACAGGCGUAGCUGAUGGGAAACAGGUUAAUAUUCCUGUACUAGAUAUAACUGCGAUGGGGUGACGAAGAAAGCUAGGUUCUCCGAGGAUCGGUAGUCUCGGUUUAAACGUGUAAGCGGAAAGAUUCAGGAAAAUCCAUUCUUUCCAACGCUGAGGCGCUAUGACGAGCCAUCAAGAUGGCGAAGGAAUUAAUGCUAUACUUCCAGGAAAAUCCUCUAAGCUUCAGGUUAUAUCUAAUCGUACCAUAAACCGACACAGGUGGUUAGGUAGAGAAUACUCAGGCGCUUGAGAGAACUCGGGUGAAGGAACUAGGCAAAAUAGUGCCGUAACUUCGGGAGAAGGCACGCUGGAAUGUAAGUGUAAGAACAAUAAAUAUAUUGCUUCUGAAGCUGAACCCAGUCGAAGAUACCAGCUGGCUGCAACUGUUUAUUAAAAACACAGCACUGUGCAAACACGAAAGUGGACGUAUACGGUGUGACGCCUGCCCGGUGCCGGAAGGUUAAUUGAGAGGGUUAUCUUUUAUUACAAAUAAAAGAAAAGCUCUUGAUCGAAGCCUCGGUAAACGGCGGCCGUAACUAUAACGGUCCUAAGGUAGCGAAAUUCCUUGUCGGGUAAGUUCCGACCUGCACGAAUGGCGUAAUGAUGGCCAGACUGUCUCCACCCGAGACUCAGUGAAAUUGAAUUCGCCGUGAAGAUGCGGCGUACCCGCGGCAAGACGGAAAGACCCCGUGAACCUUUACUAUAGCUUGAUACUGGAUAUUAAAUAUUGAUGUGUAGGAUAGGUGGGAGACCAUGAAGUAAAAGCGCUAGCUUUUAUGGAGUCAUCCUUGAAAUACCACCCUUUAACAUUUGAUAUUCUAACUUAGGUCCGUGAUCCGGACCAAGGACAGUGUCUGGUGGGUAGUUUGACUGGGGCGGUCUCCUCCCAAAGAGUAACGGAGGAGCACAAAGGUUAGCUAAUCACGGUUGGACAUCGUGAGGUUAGUGCAAAGGCAUAAGCUAGCUUAACUGCGAGAGUGACGAUUCGAGCAGAUGCGAAAGCAGGUCUUAGUGAUCCGGUGGUUCUGAAUGGAAAGGCCAUCGCUCAACGGAUAAAAGGUACUCCGGGGAUAACAGGCUAAUACCGCCCAAGAGUUCAUAUCGACGGCGGUGUUUGGCACCUCGAUGUCGGCUCAUCACAUCCUGGGGCUGCAGUAGGUCCCAAGGGUAUGGCUGUUCGCCAUUUAAAGUGGUACGCGAGCUGGGUUUAGAACGUCGUGAGACAGUUCGGUCCCUAUCUGCCGUGGGCGUUGGAAGAUUGAGAGGGGCUGCUCCUAGUACGAGAGGACCGGAGUGGACGCACCACUGGUGUUCGGGUUGUCAUGCCAAUGGCAUUGCCCGGUAGCUACGUGCGGAAAAGAUAACCGCUGAAAGCAUAUAAGCGGGAAACUUGCCUCAAGAUGAGUCUUCCCCGAGGAUAUAAAAUCCUCCUAAAGGGACGUUAAAGACGAUGACGUUGAUAGGUCGGGUGUAUAAGCACUGCGAAGUGUUAAGCUAACCGAUACUAAUGACCCGUGAGAACUUAACUUC